rnacentral:rRNA from 1 species
UACAGAGACUGCAAGCGUUAUUCGGAUUCACUGGGCGUAAAGGGUGCGCAGGCGGCCAUGUGUGUGAGGCGUGAAAGCCCGGGGCUUAACCCCGGAAUUGCACCUCAAACUACAUGGCUAGAGCAUUGGAGAGGGUAGCAGAAUUCACGGUGUAGCAGUGAAAUGCGUAGAUAUCGUGAGGAAUACCAGAGGCGAAGGCGGCUACCUGGACAAUUGCUGACGCUCAGGCACGGAAAGCGUGGGGAGCAAAAGGG